UUUAGUGUUAGAAUAAAUUAUCAUAACUAUUAUAUAGUGUUAGAAUAAAUAUAUGUAAAUUCUUACCUUGGACUCAUCCAAUUCAUUUCUCUUGUUGACAGCAUUCAUUAAGCUUUUCAAAGAUUCAUCUAUGAACUCUCGAAGUAUUGAGAGUUCAUCAUAAACAUCAUUCUUUAACUGAUCUAACUUUCCAUCAACCUAAAAAUUAAAUAUGUAUGUUAGUUGGAAAGAAUAUUCGAUUAGUUACACUAAAAUAAAAAGAACCUACAAUGUCGAAGGAAUGAAGGCAAUUGGUACUAAAAAAUGACUACACAAC
rnacentral:lncRNA from 1 species